rnacentral:lncRNA from 1 species
GCAUGAGACGCAGGUAUGAGCGAGCUUGUUAUUCUUUCGUAGCUCUGAUACCACUCGGACUGAAGGCAGUACCCUCGAUGCACUCCCGAAUCAAUGCAAUGCGAUGCACUCUCGAGUAUUCUGGCACUAAAUGCAUGAGAUGCAGGUAUGAGCGAGCUUGUUAUUCUUUCGUAGCUCUGAUACCACUCGGACUGAAGGCAGUACCCUCGAUGCACUCCCGAAUCAAUGCAAUGCGAUGCACUCUCGAGUAUUCUGGCACUAAAUGCAUGAGACGCAGGUAUGAGCUAGCUUGUUAUUCUUUCGUAGCUCUGAUACCACUCGGACUGAAGGCAGUACCCUCGAUGCACUCCCGAAUCAAUGCAAUGCAAUGCAAUGUGAUGCGAUGCGAUGCACUCUUGAGUAUUCUGGCACAAAAUGCAUGAGACGCAGGUAUGGAGACAAAUUAGCAUGAGAAAUUAAGGUUCUCUAUUUCUUGUAACUACCUCAACUAGAUCGUCACUUGUGUCUUUCCUUGUUUACAUCCUCCUCGUAAUUUCAAUACCUCAAGAACUCAAUUUAUCCACAAAAUCUAGCAAUUUCAUUAAUCAUUUGCAAUGAGAAUUGUCAGUGAUUGAUUCAAAAUGUACAUUCUUUGAUUCUUUGGGGUGAUCUCUAUGAUUUUCUCAUAUUUUUGGUUGUGCAGAUGUGUAUUUGAUCGAAAAUGCAAAUUGGAAGGAGAUAAAUAAAUUUUAUUUUCUCAUAAAGCACCUCACUCCAAUCACAGAAUACAUAGUUAGACUUCAAUUUUUGAAAGAAAUGGAUCGAUCCAUUUAUUUAGCUCAAGAAAUGCAUGUCAAAUAUCAUGAUUUCUGAUAUGAAGGUGAUUAAUAUGAGGAAGUCAUAGGAUAAGAUAUGUUGCUUAUAGUACAUGUGGAAUGAAAUGAUAGUAUGAACAUAGAAAGUUUAUGAAUUGGGAUAUAUAUAUAUAUAUAUAUAUAUAUAUAUAUAUAUAUAUAUAUAUAUAUAUAUAUAUAUAUAUAUAUAUAUAUAAGUUUACGUCCCACACGUUGACAUUGAUAAUGAGAACAGAGCGUUGCUCUACCUCACUAUUGUGGUUUUCCAGCUCUGCCUCUCAGGCUGAGAAGGUUCGCUUAUUCCGGCAUCCUCCUCCUCGUCCCCUUCCUCGCCGAUUGCCUUCUCCACCGCUACAUCCUUCGUCCUCUUCCACAACCCCCGGCCUUUGAGGAGCUCCACCGCUUCCUUCAUGGU